rnacentral:lncRNA from 1 species
UGAAUUUACCAUUUAUCCAUCCUCAAAAAAUAUAAAAAUCUCAAGCAAGGGUCAAAUUCUGUUACUAGCCUGGUCUAGAUCUUCAUUCUCAACCUGACCUUUUCAAAGACUGUCCAAGGACUUAGAACAUAAACUCUUAAAUAAGUUUCUUUUGCAAUUAUGCGCUGAUGUGCUAUGCCUAGCUGUCUGCUAGAAAUGGGGGAAAUUGUAAAAAUCAUGUCCUGCUUAGUUUUCUAUCUUGUUAGAUCACGUUAGAUCACAAGAACAAUUAAAAAGAUUUGAUCUUAACAUCUUU